rnacentral:rRNA from 1 species
GAUCAUGGCUCAGGAUGAACGCUAGCGGCAGGCUUAAUACAUGCAAGUCGUGGGGCAGCAGGUUUGUAGCAAUACAGAUGCUGGCGACCGGCAAACGGGUGCGGAACACGUACAGAACCUUCCUUUGAGCGGGGAAUAGCCCAGAGAAAUUUGGAUUAAUACCCCAUAGUAUAAUGAAGUGGCAUCACUUAUUAUUAAAGAUUUAUCACUCGAAGAUGGCUGUGCGGCUGAUUAGGUAGUUGGCGGGGUAAAGGCCCACCAAGCCUGCGAUCAGUAACUGGUGUGAGAGCACGACCAGUCACACGGGCACUGAGACACGGGCCCGACUCCUACGGGAGGCAGCAGUAAGGAAUAUUGGUCAAUGGAGGCAACUCUGAACCAGCCAUGCCGCGUGGAGGAUGAAGGUCCUCUGGAUUGUAAACUUCUUUUAUAUGGGACGAAAAAGGCUUUUCUAAGUCGUCUGACGGUACCAUAUGAAUAAGCACCGGCUAACUCCGUG